GGCUUUAUUUCACCAGUGCUUGUUUACCUACGUCUCCUGCCUCCAUUAACGACUCUCACUUUGUGGUUCUGCAGCCAGGAGCAGCAGUUUCGGGUCCAGGACAGGAUUAACAGUUUUAAUCUCCUGGUGUUCCUAGAGAAUUCCAAAGGAAGGCGCUGGGUGUAUCUGGGGGACGUCUUCCCCACAGGGCCAUCCAGGGAACCCAGCCUUCGUGGGAUCCAGGCUUUGGCAGAGAGGACCACCACGAUUUCAGGGUUGGAGGAGAAAGAUUUCUCUCCACAGGAGGACAUGACUUCCACGUAUCAUGGACAUCGGGCUUCCCAGGCGGCUCUGUGGUAAAGAAUCUGCCUGCCAGUGCAGGAAGUGCAGGAGACACAGGUUUGAUCCUGGGAUUGGGAAGAUCCCCUGGAGGAGGAAAUGAAAACCCAAUCCUGUAUUCGUGCCUGGAAAAUCCCAUGGAGAGGGGAGCCUGGCGGGCUACACGGGGUCGCAGAGUCGGACACGACUGAGCACCUGAACAACAGGAGCGCAGCCCCUCCCAGGGAGCACUGUUGGAGAGAAGACGGCAAGGCAUCGCCUUCCGGGGAGGGCAGCCCGAAGGGGAGCAGAGAAUGGGGAGAGGAGGUGUCCCUGGGGAGACGUCCUUCCCUCUCAGGAAAAGCAGCUUCACCCUCCCCUCCCCACAGAAGUGAAUGCUGGAGUCACGCUGGAGAUUUACCACACUGCAGCUUACUUCAGUUAAGUGAGAGACCUUGAAUAUUUGACUGCCUCGAACUUCAAUCUGUAUUAUUUUGAAAUAUUUCACUAAACAAAGAGCCUAUCUUCAAAUCACUCAGACCCUUUCUUGGAAAUCAUGUGAAAAACAUUUAAAUGAAUUUGGAUCAAUUAGUCAUUAUCUUCCCCAUCUCUGAGUCAGAUGCCUGAUCCUAACUUAAUUUUAUAGCCAAGAGCACAUGAACCAAGCUGAACGCCAAGCGGGCUUCGUGCUUUCUUUCGUUACCUGCUAAGAAGUGACAGGCUGAUCACACAAGCAGGCGAUAGCUUGGCCAUCCAUCCGAAAAGAGGACUCUGAUUCACGACUUGUAGCAACCAGCCCAGGAAACUGACCCUUUCUCUGAAGUAGCCAUCCCAGAAAGCCGGUUGCUGCCCGCUAUUGUUUUAGGAAGGCAGACCUCUGUCUCUAGAGACAAUUCAGAAAGUGAAACAUCCACGCCUGUAACAACUGGCCCCAAAUGACUGGGAUGGGAUUAGUAACUGACAGCCUCCCUCAUGCUUGCCCUGCAAAUCACGACCAACCAGAGAAAGCCAGCGAUGCACCUCAGCCAAUGACAUGGGUGCCCGGCCUGUAGUUGGCCCACCCUCGGCUUCCCCGGGGCCCCAGCCUCUGGGCGGGGUGCUCCGGAGCUGUCCCUCUGCCCACCACAAAGCUCCCCAGUCCUCUGCCUGCCCCGAGUCUCCACCAAACACUGGUGGUGGUGGCUGACUCUCUGGCUCGAGCCAGACUUUGCUUUUUCACUUGGGUGGCCUUUGUUUAUUUCCACAGGAGGAAGUUCUCUGAGGAAACUGGGGGACACAUUUGCUAAAAAUAGCAACAUUUUGGGGGCUCAUCUAAGAGGAGAAUUGAUGGGUCAGGAAAUAGCUGCAAUGAAAUGACUCCCCUUCGUGUGACGUUUAACUUUGUGCCAACUUGACUAGGCUGCGGUGUCCCCACAUAUUUGAUCAGACAUUAUUUUGGGUGUUUCUGUGAGAGUGUUUUCGGUGAGCUUAACAUUUAAGCCAGCAGACUGAGUAAAGCAGAUUGCACUCCCUUAAUGUGGGUGGGCCUUAUCCAAUCAGUUGAAGACACUAAUAGGAGGAAAAAAUGGAUGAGCCUCUCCCCAAAAGAUGGAAUUUCUCUUGCUUGAUUGUUUGCAAACUGGAGCAUCAUUUUUGAAAUAGGGAAGAAUAAAUCUAAAUUCAUAUUUGAUCUGUUUCUUUUA
rnacentral:lncRNA from 1 species